UCCAAUUCUCGCCGUCCACUC
rnacentral:siRNA from 1 species